GAUGAACGCUGGCGGCGUGCUUAACACAUGCAAGUCGAGCGAGAAAAGUUCUUCGGAGCUUUUCUAGCGGCGGACGGGUGAGUAACACGUGGGCAACCUGCCUCAUAGAGGGGAAUAGCCUUCCGAAAGGAAGCUUAAUACCGCAUAACAUUGUUGAAAGGCAUCUUUUAACAAUCAAAGGAGCAAGCCGCUAUGAGCUGGGCCCGCGGCGCAUUAGCUAGUUGGUGAGGUAACGGCUCACCAAGGCGACGAUGCGUAGCCGACCUGAGAGGGUGAUCGGCCACAUUGGAACUGAGACACGGUCCAGACUCCUACGGGAGGCAGCGGUGGGGAAUAUUGCACAAUGGGGGAAACCCUGAUGCAGCAACGCCGCGUGAGUGAUGAAGGUCUUCGGAUUGUAAAGCUCUGUCUUUAGGGACGAUAAUGACGGUACCUAAGGAGGAAGCCACGGCUAACUACGUGCCAGCCGCCGCCGUAAUAC
rnacentral:rRNA from 1 species